CCAAUAGCGUAUAUUAAAGUUGUUGCAGUUAAAAAGCUCGUAGUUGAAUUUCGGAAUCUGUCCAUCGGUCGGGCUUUACUGUCCGUACUGGUGUGGUGGGUUCUUACCUUCUGAAUAACCAGCAUGCCAUUCACUUGGUGCGUUGGGGAAGCAGGACUAUUACCUUGAAAAAAUUAGAGUGCUCAAAGCAGGCCAGUGCCCGAAUACAUUAGCAUGGAAUAAUAAAAUAGGACGGCAUGGUUCUAUUUUGUUGGUUUCUAGGAUCACCGUAAUGAUUAAUAGGGAUAGUUGGGGGCAUUAGUAUUCAAUUGUCAGAGGUGAAAUUCUUGGAUUUAUUGAAGACUAACUUCUGCGAAAGCAUUUGCCAAGGAUGUUUUCAUUAAUCAAGAACGAAAGUUAGGGGAUCGAAGACGAUCAGAUACCGUCGUAGUCUUAACCAUAAACUAUGCCGACUAGGGAUCGGACGAUGUUAAUUUUUUAAUGACUCGUUCGGCGCCUUACG
rnacentral:rRNA from 1 species